AUUGAACGCUGGCGGCGUGCUUAACACAUGCAAGUCGAACGAAGUGGCGAACGGGUGAGUAACGCGUAAUCAACCUGCCCUUCAGAGGGGAACAACAGUUGGAACCGACUGCUAAUACCGCAUACUGAAGGAGGGGGUUGCGUGGGAUUAGCUAGUUGGAGGGGUAAAGGCCCACCAAGGCGACGAUCAGUAGCUGGUCUGAGAGGAUGAACAGCCACAUUGGGACGUAGACACGGCCCAGACUCCUACGGGAGGCAGCAGUGGGGAAUAUUGGACAAUGGGCGAAAGCCUGAUCCAGCCAUGCCGCGUGUGUGAAGAAGGUCUUCGGAUUGUAAAGCACUUUAAGUUGGGAGGCGUUACCAACAGAAUAAGCACCGGCUAACUUCGUGCCAGCCGCCGCGGUAAUUC
rnacentral:rRNA from 1 species